rnacentral:rRNA from 1 species
GUUUGAUCAUGGCUCAGGAUAAACGCUAGCGGCGUGCCUUAUGCAUGCAAGUCGAACGGUUCGCCGAAAGGUGAAUAGUGGCAAACGGCUGAGUAACGCGUAAGCAACCUGUCCUUAAGCGGGGAAUAAUCCGCCGAAAGGUGGAAUAAUACCGCAUGUGGUAGUGGGGGUAGGUUCCCAUUACUAAAGCUUUCGGGCGCUUGAGGAGGGGCUUGCGUCCUAUCAGGUAGUUGGUGGGGUAACGGCUCACCAAGCCAAUGACGGGUAGCUGGUUUGAGAGGACGUCCAGCCAGACGGGGACUGAGACACGGCCCCGACUCCUACGGGAGGCAGCAGCAAGGAAUUUUGCGCAAUGGGCGAAAGCCUGACGCAGCAACGCCGCGUGAGGGAAGAAGGCCUUCGGGUUGUAAACCUCUUUUAUCAGGGAAGAAAAAUGACGGUACCUGAUGAAUAAGUCACGGCUAACUACGUGCCAGCAGCCGCGGUAAUACGUAGGUGGCAAGCGUUAUCCGGAUUCACUGGGCGUAAAGAGCGCGUAGGUGGUCCUUCAAGUCAGAUGUUAAAUCUCCUGGCUUAACUGGGAGCUGUCAUCUGAUACUGCUGGACUUGAGGGCGGUAGAGGGAGGUGGAAUUCCCGGUGUAGUGGUGAAAUGCGUAGAUAUCGGGAGGAACACCAGUGGCGAAGGCGGCCUCCUAGGCCGUUCCUGACACUGAGGCGCGAAAGCGUGGGGAGCGAACAGGAUCAGAUACCCUGGUAGUCCACGCCCUAAACUGUGGAAACUAGGUACAGGGAGUAUCGACCCUUCCUGCGCCGUAGCUAACGCGUUAAGUUUCCCGCCUGGGGACUACGGUCGCAAGACUAAAACUCAAAGGAAUUGAC